GACGAACGCUGGCGGCGUGCUUAACACAUGCAAGUCGAACGGAAAGGCCCUGCUUUUGUGGGGUGCUCGAGUGGCGAACGGGUGAGUAACACGUGAGUAACCUGCCCUUGACUUUGGGAUAACUUCAGGAAACUGGGGCUAAUACCGGAUAGGAGCUCCUGCUGCAUGGUGGGGGUUGGAAAGUUUCGGCGGUUGGGGAUGGACUCGCGGCUUAUCAGCUUGUUGGUGGGGUAGUGGCUUACCAAGGCUUUGACGGGUAGCCGGCCUGAGAGGGUGACCGGCCACAUUGGGACUGAGAUACGGCCCAGACUCCUACGGGAGGCAGCAGUGGGGAAUAUUGCACAAGGGGCGGAGGCCGGAUGAAGAAGCGCCGCGUGCGGGAUGAAGGCUUUCGGGUUGUAACCCGCUUUCGCCUGUGACGAAGCGUGAGUGACGGUAAUGGGUAAAGAAGCACCGGCUAACUACGU
rnacentral:rRNA from 1 species